GUCUGACCUUUAUGGAGAUGCUGAAGCGCCCCCAACCGCCUUAACUGGUCCUUACUGGUCCCACCGCCCCAUUCCCCAUUCCAGUGACCCGUACUGGUCCAUACUGGCCUAUACUGGUUUAUACUGGUCUAUACUGGUCUAUACUGGUCUGACCUUGAUGGAGAUGCUGAAGUGCCCCCAACCCCCUUAACUGGUCCUUACUGGUCCCACUGCCCCGUUCCCAAUUCCAGUGACCCGUACUGAUCUUUACUGGUUUAUACUGGUCUAUACUGGUCCAUACUGGUCCAUACUGGUUUAUACUGGUCUAUACUGAUCUAUACUGGUCUAUACUGGUCUGUACUGGUCUGUACUGGU